CUAAGCAAGGCCGCGCCCUGAUUCUUUAUUUGCUCGCGACGGCGCAGAGCCCAAUUCUCUAUGAACCCGAGUCGGGAUCCGCGCUUCCGCCAGAAACGACCAGAAUAACAGCCACACACAGAGCUGAAACAUGUCGAAUCUUUACGGCGACUUUCCCGAAGGCGUUCCCACGAACGUUGCAUCCGUUCGAAAUGCGCUCCAAGAUAUGACUCGUCUUUGAGACUUUGUUGUUUCCUUUUUUUUUGUUACAUUUUUUGUUUCAUUUUCAAUGGUUUUCAAUAUUCGGCCCCGGAGUUCCCGAUAUCCCCCGAUCAUGAUGUGAUGGUCACGCCCCAGCUAUCAAAAUUUAUCACUGCAAGAUCUGGCAAACCAUGACUUAACACAACUCAGCCGUGGUGGCCACCACGCCCGGUGCAGUCGAAUUCGUUAGGCACAACGAAUAGGAGGAAUAAACAGACGAGAGGCUGACUUUAUCGCGCCAUCAUCAAAAGACACCUGCCAUGCAACACGCAGCGCACUUGGCCAGCAAGCAACUAUGUGGGAUCACAGGAGUCAUCGAUGAUCAAUAGAACUGUUCUAAUAGGCUUGUUUUUGUAGUCAUUAUGCAGUAGAACAUUUCUUCAAAUGCGGCCCUCAGCUUGCUGCCCCUGCGGGUAGACUUCAAGUUAGGUUGUACCUGUUUAUCAUUGAGCUACAAGCACCGCCAAAAAAAAAAUAUUGGGUUUGAAGCCUACAUUUAUUAACUAGAUCAAUUGAUUUAGAUCACAGCAGAUGUCUUGAAGCUACUUGGAUCAGCGGGCUACGCGGUGAUGUAGUUAAGUGAGACAGUGAACUAGCUAUUGGCAAUCUCUAAACAAGAUACAUACAUUUAAAGCACAAAUAUUCUUUUUUCUUGAAUUGGGGCUAAAACAAAGGAACUUAAAUACGCAUACAUAUAUCUCCUUGUCCUACUUUACGCAGAUUCGAAGCUGAAAUCUUGCUAUUAUAAACCUGUAAGCUCAUAUCCCAUACCGCGCAUGGUGACAUCCAUUUUUAAGUCUCCAUGUUAUGCAGGUGUAAAGAGAAGGAGCUCAAAGAGCUAGCUGCAUUGCAUUGUGUCGCAUGAAUUUCAAUGUGAACAUGGGUUCGGAAAUACACAAAGCAAGCUGUGGGGGUCCAACUUAAGUUCCCCUUCUCUGUUAGUUGCACAAUACAUCUUCCAGUCCAGGCAUCUGGUUUCCUGAAACAACGUGUAUAUAAAUUUAUAUAUACAGAUAUAUAUCAAGCAAGGUUUCAUAUCUCCAUAGAAAAAUAGUUAGCCGCGAGUCACUACAAACGACUCCUCCCCAUCCUUCAGGUCAAUCUCCGACUUUUCCAGCUUAACCACACGUGCUAAUUCGGGUCCUUGGCUUAGAUCCUCGAGCAGCUUGGAGAGCGCGGCCUCAUCCCCUUGGGCUUCCCCUUCUACCUGUGUAGGUUAUUGGAAUUUGUAAGUAAUAAAGGUAAUGCAUGGUAGAUGGAUAGGCAAGUGGGUAUAUGUAUACACAUAUAGCAAUGCGAAACGACGAUCUGUGCUUUCGCGGGGUAGAAAUGAAAGUCAAACAAUAUAUAGUAAUCUAAGGGAAGCGGGGUGGGGCUUUCUUCGCUCAUAUAUGUGAGAACAUAUGUGUGUUGCAAUGAGCAAGAGCGACAAUGAUAAGAGUCUCGAUUCAACUACAUUCCUGCGCAGUUUUUUUUUUUUAAAAAAAAAAAAAUAAUAGAUAGAGUGGAGGAUGGGACAUUUGACGGAGGCAGAGUUGGGGUGGGAGGGGUCUUGUUUCCAACCGACCUUUCCAUCAGGUGUAUUCCUCACCCAUCCGGUUAAGUUGUAGUUAUUCGCAUUCCGCCGAGUGAAAUCGCUAGUUUCAAGGAUUCAUAAUUCAGCAUAGACUUAUUUCAUCUUAAACAAGAAAAG
rnacentral:sRNA from 1 species